AGUGGUUCUGAUGGGGUUUUUCCU
rnacentral:siRNA from 1 species